CUAGGAUCAUGACCUGAGUGGAACAAAGGCAGAUGCUUAGCCAGCUGAAACACCCAGUUGCCCCUGAAGACCCUGGAAAGAGAAGGUCUUCAGAUCAGAGGGAAAGAAGGCAGCCCCUGUGAGACAGCUACCAUCUGGGCCAGAUGCAGGGUUGGGAACUCUGCCUAGACCGAGUCACCUCUUCCGAGCGGCACUGAAUCCUUAGCAGGGCAGACAUGAGAAGCCCCACUUAGGUCUGGAUCAAGAGUAGAGGGACGGGUGCUCUACCUUCCGGCUGUAGCUCUGGGAGGUCCGCCAGCCCCAGAGAUGUAGUGACGGCCGCAUGGGGUCCUUGAUUGGCCUCACCCGGAGUCCCCACUCUC
rnacentral:lncRNA from 1 species